rnacentral:rRNA from 1 species
AACGAACGCUGGCGGCAGGCCUAACACAUGCAAGUCGAGCGCCCGCAAGGGAGCGGCAGACGGGUGAGUAACGCGUGGGAAUCUACCCAGUUCUACGGAAUAACCCAGGGAAACUUGGACUAAUACCGUAUACGCCCUACGGGGGAAAGAUUUAUCGGAAUUGGAUGAGCCCGCGUAAGAUUAGCUAGUUGGUGGGGUAAUGGCCUACCAAGGCGACGAUCUUUAGCUGGUCUGAGAGGAUGAUCAGCCACACUGGGACUGAGACACGGCCCCGACUCCUACGGGAGGCAGCAGUAGGGAAUAUUGGACAAUGGGCGCAAGCCUGAUCCAGCCAUGCCGCGUGAGUGAUGAAGGCCUUAGGGUUGUAAAGCUCUUUCAGUGGGGAAGAUAAUGACGGUACCCACAGAAGAAGCCCCGGCUAACUUCGUGCCAGCCGCCGCAGUAAAAC